CGUCGUCUCCUUCUCUCUCUCUCUCUCUCUCUCUCUCUCCUCACUUUUGAAGUUGCCAUCAUCUUUCUAUCCUCUGAGAUCCCAAACCGUGGUUCUUAAGGUGGAAACGUGUAAGUCUUGGGUGGGAAGUCGAUUAGGUUUCGGAGGUGACAGGAACUCCUCCUUGUCACCCGAACACAGGAUUAUCUUUGGUUGUGGGAAGUGAUCAGGUGCAUGAGGGUUUCGAUCCAGGCCUUGUUUCUCUCUUUUUUGCCCUGGCUUUUAAACCCGCUGGUUCCUGGGAAUGGAUCUGUCGCUGGUGUUGCCUCGAUACAACUCAAAGAGCACUGCAACAGGCUGCAAGAUUCCGCCUGUGGGUCCAUAAAUCCAGGCUCCAGCCGCAGAUGUCACCUCGCGUGGGAUGCUGCAGUACUUGUCGCAGUGCUCAUGUCUUCCUCUUCUCUCGCUAUUUCAUCUCCUCGACUCAAAUCUUGGGGUGGGAUAGCAGCCUUCCUUGAAGUCUACAGCUUCCCGUGCGCUCUUCUCUCGGUUAAUUGCGUUCCAGUUUGUCGGAGCAGCAGCCGGCCGGUGCUUGCAGCUGCGGCAUCAUCAAGAUUCACACGAACGUCCGGGGAGCCCCGUCGUCGUCGUCGAUGAGAAUCUUGAUGAUGCUGCAUCAGCAAACAAGCGGCUAAAUAUAUAUGCCUCCAUCGCUAAGGACAGAACUAAGAAAUCCAAAUGGCGAGUAACAUCAUGGACCACUUCAAUCGACUGGCUUCAUCAUGAGCCCUUUUUAAGAGGACGACGGUACUGCUCUUUCUCAAACACACCAAAACAUGGUUGUAGAUCUGAACAUGUGAUCAUCUUGCAUGGGGUAAUUCCUUCUUGAUUUGAUAUGGUCCAGUCAAAGAGCUUGCUCCUUAUCCUCACCUCAGCUUAGCUUAGUUUUGACACCUGAAGACUACAAAAAAUUAACUACAACAACUUUUAAUUUCAGUCUGGCUUUGUUAAUUUAUGGAUUCUAAUGCAUUAUGGUAGUACUCUUGAAUGGAAAUGCUUUGAAGUUUGACAUUAAUAUGUGCAUUGCUUCAAUAUUUGGCGGUCAUCAACAAACUAUCUUCUUGCUUUGAGAUGAAUGAUGUUAAGCUGCUCGAUUUGGUUGCCACAGUAAAUCAUAUAGAUCAAUGGACUCUUUUUUAAGUUGUGAUACAACAACUGCAUUCAGAAGAAGGAUCAAGGAGAUCCUUGGCCACAUGGUAAGAUUUAUUUUCUGAAACCUGGAGAAAACAAAAGAGCAACUCAUUCACAUUAAUGCACUCUAACAUGUAAAGUAUGUGCUAGGAUCAUUUUCUAAUUAAUGCAGGUUUGAUCAUUGUUCUUAGAGAGCUUACCAUCUAAAGAACUAUGUGGCAGGAAAUGUCCUGGGAUGGAAAGGAUCUAAAAAGGAAAAAAAAAUCUUAUGUUAGCAAUAACUCUCCUUCAUCAGUCACUCAUUUAGGUGGACCUAACAGAAGGUACAUGUUGCUGCUAGUUGUUUCUAAGUGGACCUAUCUUUUAGGACAACAUGCACAGAACUGUCCGGCAAUUUGAUUUGAGCUCCUUUCUCCAUCUAAGCACAUAUACCAACAUAUACAUCUAAGAGCUAAACGCAUGUGAUUUAGUCAAAGUAUAUUGGUUGUACUAUUGUAUGAACUGGAGCCUCUAAGGUGUGUUGUUUUCUCUCCAAUCAGAGGGUUGCCAUAAUCCAAAAGAAAGGGUUUCUUUCA